rnacentral:rRNA from 1 species
CGAGAGGGAGCAUGAGACACGGCUACCACUUCCAAGGAAGGCAGCAGGCGCGCAAAUUACCCACUCCCGAUACGGGGAGGUAGUGACGAGACGUAUCGGCACCGGACUCUGUCGAGGCUCGGGCCGCCGGAAUGAGUGCACUUUAAAUCCUUUUCAGAGGAUCCAGUGGAGGGCAAGUCUGGUGCCAGCAGCCGCGGUAAUUCCAGCUCCACACGCGUAUAUUAAAGUUGUUGCAGCUAAAAAGCUCGUAGUUGGAUCUCGGGUCGUUGGCGGGGGUUCAGGUUCUUGCCUGCUUACUCCUGUCGAUACCUAACUGGUGGGAUGCUGUGGGUGCCCUUGACUGGGUUGCCUACUGCACCUGCUCAAUUUACUUUGAAAAAAUUAGAGUGUUCAAGGCAGGCUCUCACGCCUGUAUAAUGGUGCAUGGAAUAAUGGAAUAGGAUCUCGGUUCUAUUUUGUUGGUUUUCGGAACUAGAGAUAAUGAUUAAGAGGGACAGACGGGGGCAUUCGUAUUGCCGUGUUAGAGGUGAAAUUCUUGGAUCGCGGCAAGACGAACUACUGCGAAAGCAUUUGCCAAGAAUGUUUUCAUUAAUCAAGAACGAAAGUCAGAGGUUCGAAGACGAUCAGAUACCGUCCUAGUUCUGACCAUAAACGAUGCCGACUAGCGAUCUGUCAGAGUUGAUUCAAUGACCUGACAGGCAGCUUCCGGGAAACCAAAGUCUUUGGGUUCCGGGGGAAGUAUGGUUGCAAAAGCGAAACUUAAAGGAAUUGACGGAAGGGCACCACCAGGAGUGGAGCCUGCGGCUUAAUUUGACUCAACACGGGGAAACUCACCCGG